rnacentral:rRNA from 1 species
CCUACGGGUGGCAGCAGUGGGGAAUAUUGCACAAUGGGCGCAAGCCUGAUGCAGCCAUGCCGCGUGUGUGAAGAAGGCCUUCGGGUUGUAAAGCACUUUCAGCGGGGAGGAAGGCGGUGAGGUUAAUAACCUCAUCGAUUGACGUUACCCGCAGAAGAAGCACCGGCUAACUCCGUGCCAGCAGCCGCGGUAAUACGGAGGGUGCAAGCGUUAAUCGGAAUUACUGGGCGUAAAGCGCACGCAGGCGGUCUGUCAAGUCGGAUGUGAAAUCCCCGGGCUCAACCGGGGAACUGCAUUCGAAACUGGCAGGCUAGGGUCUUGUAGAGGGGGGUAGAAUUCCAGGUGUAGCGGUGAAAUGCGUAGAGAUCUGGAGGAAUACCGGUGGCGAAGGCGGCCCCCUGGACAAAGACUGACGCUCAGGUGCGAAAGCGUGGGGAGCAAACAGGAUUAGAUACCCGGGUAGUC